rnacentral:rRNA from 1 species
AACAACUCACCUGCCGAAUGAAUUAGCCCUGAAAAUGGAUGGCGCUGAAGCGAGCAGCCGACACCACGUCAUUUGGGCAAAGUGGUCAUUUCCAGAUGAGUAGGAGGGCGUGGCGGUCGUAUCGAAGCGUAUGUGCAAACGUGCGUGGAACGGCCGCUAGUGCAGAUCUUGGUGGUAGUAGCAAAUAUUCAAACGAGAUCCUUGAAGGGCGAAGCGGGGAAGGGUUCCACGCGAACACUGAUUGAGCGUGGGUGAGUCGUUCCUAAGCCGAGUGUCAAUUUCUAUUUAUUAUCCGGCGAAAGGGAAACGGGUUGACAUUCCCGUACACGGAUGUGGAGGCGGUGACGCUCCUCUGAGGCGAUGACGUUGGCGGUGGCACUGGGCAGAGUUGUCUUUUCUGUUUAACCAGGCUCCAUUGUACUGUGUGGAAUCCGCUUGUCGGGAGAAACACGUGCGAUCGGGUAUAGCACCGGGUGUUUUCCGGUGUCCAGUUCGCCACUGACAAACCUUGAAAAAUCGUCUGCUGGGCAAAAGAGUUCUUUUACUUUUUUGUUGGAAAAAUCCACGCCGUAACGUACCCAUAACCGCAUCAGGUCCCCAAGGUGAACAGCCUCUGCUCAAUAUGAUUAAU